GUGCCAGCAGCGGCGGUAAUACGGAGGGUGCAAGCGUUAAUCGGAAUUACUGGGCGUAAAGCGCGCGUAGGCGGUUUAUUAAGUCAGAUGUGAAAGCCCCGGGCUCAACCUGGGAAUUGCAUUUGAGACUGGUAGGCUAGAGUGUGGUAGAGGUGAGUGGAAUUUCAGGUGUAGCGGUGAAAUGCGUAGAGAUCUGAAGGACAUCAGUGGCGAAGGCGACUCACUGGGCCAUUACUGACGCUGAGGUGCGAAAGCGUGGUAGCAAACAGGAUUAGAUACCCUGGUAGUCCACGCCCUAAA
rnacentral:rRNA from 1 species